GCCGGCGCCCUCUUGGACUGCGCCUGGUUGGCGGUGUCAGAAGUAGUAGAAGCGCUGAGCGCCGUCGGCGCGACACGGCCAUCGCCGGUGGGCGACGAGGCGGUGGACGCCUCCUGUCUCGACGGCGCCGCCCCCAUGGCUGCAGUUCAAGCCGGCGGUGGCAUAUAUAUAGCUGCAGGAUGGCUAGAAGCAUCACGGUUUCGUGGUAAAGGAGUGGACACGGAAUUUGAUGACCUUUUGGCGCCUACGGUCGUGCCUCGUGCGCUGGUCGGCAUGAGAGAGCUGUCCAACAUGAUAAUGUUGGCAAAGAAGAUGGCAUCGGGAUAACAUUAACAGCGGCCGAGAAAAUGCGGCGGUGAACAUCAGAUUCCGUAAACUUUGCCUUUUCCUCCCGCUUUGAGCUGAGCUCGGCAUCUGAUUCCAUGAUCCAGGGAUGAAGCUUGUGCCACGCACGGAAGAAUCCGUCUUCUUUUUCGCGGCGUAAGGAUAGCAUGCAUGCUGCUGUAGCAUUGAUGCUUCGGUUGAUGGUAUUGUGUCGACACGGAGCCGCGCGUCGUCAUGACGGAUACAGUUUUGUCAGGUCUGUAGUCUGUGGUCUGUAGUGUAGAACCAUGUCCUGAUUGAAGUCUGAUUGGUGUUGCUCCGAGGACGCAAACCUUUUUCGUUUUCAGUGUAUGCAGAAACUUCACGGAUGCGCUUGGUACCUUUUUAUUUUCUGGUGAAUGGGUGCCAGAUAGAUCUUGCGAUGAACCGGCCGAGGCAAA